rnacentral:rRNA from 1 species
UACAGAGGUCUCGAGCGUUAGGCGGAAUCACUGGGCUUAAAGCGUGUGUAGGUGGAUGCCUAAGUACCUUGUGAAAUCCCACGGCUUAACCGUGGAACUGCUUGGUAUACUGGGUGUCUUGAGUCACUCAGGGGCGAGCGGAACUCAUGGUGUAGCGGUGAAAUGCGUAGAGAUCCGGAGGAACCCCAGAGGCGAAGGCGGUGCCCUGGCUCGCAACUGACGCUCAGACACGACAGCAUGGGGAGCGAACGGG